rnacentral:rRNA from 1 species
GAUAAGUAAUGUGAAUUGCAGAAUUCAGUGAAUCAUCGAAUCUUUGAACGCACAUUGCGCCCAUUAGUAUUCUAGUGGGCAUGCCUAUUCGAGCGUCAUUUCAACCCUUAAGCCUAGUUGCUUAGUGUUGGGAAUCUGCCCUGUAUUUAUAGGGCAGUUCCUUAAAGUGAUCGGCGGAGUUAGGGCAUACUCUAAGCGUAGUAAUAUUCUUCUCGCUUCUGUAGUUGUCCUGGCGGCUUGCCGUUAAACCCCUAUAUUUCUAGUGGUUGACCUCGGAUUAGGUAGGAAUACCCGCUGAACUUAAGCAUAUCAAUAAGCGGAGGAAAAGAAACCAACAGGGAUUGCCCUAGUAACGGCGAGUGAAGCGGCAACAGCUCAAAUUUGAAAUCUGGCCCUAGCGGUCCGAGUUGUAAUUUGUAGAGGAUGCUUUUGGUUAGGUGCCUUCUGAGUUCCCUGGAACGGGACGCCAGAGAGGGUGAGAGCCCCGUACGGUUGGACACCGAGCCUCUAUAUAGCUCCUUCGACGAGUCGAGUAGUUUGGGAAUGCUGCUCUAAAUGGGAGGUAAAUUUCUUCUAAAGCUAAAUACCGGCCAGAGACCGAUAGCGCACAAGUAGAGUGAUCGAAAGAUGAAAAGUACUUUGAAAAGAGGGUUAAAUAGCACGUGAAAUUGUUGAAAGGGAAGCGUUUGCGACCAGACUUUUUCCAGGCGGAUCAUCCGGUGUUCUCACCGGUGCACUUCGCCUGGUUUAGGCCAGCAUCGGUUCUCUUAGGGGGAUAAAGGCCUGGGGAACGUAGCUCCUUCGGGAGUGUUAUAGCCCCUAGCGUAAUACCCUUCGGGGGACCGAGGAACGCGCAUCU